rnacentral:rRNA from 1 species
GAUGAACGCUAGCUACAGGCUUAACACAUGCAAGUCGAGGGGUAACGAGAGGAAAGCUUGCUUUCCUUGUCGACGACCGGCGCACGGGUGAGUAACGCGUAUCCAACCUGCCCCCAACUAGGGAAUAACCUUGCGAAAGUAAGACUAAUACCCUAUAAUUUCCUCAGAUGUCAUCUGACGAGGAAUAAAGAUUUAUCGGUUGUGGAUGGGGAUGCGUCUGAUUAGCCUGUUGGCGGGGUAACGGCCCACCAAGGCAACGAUCAGUAGGGGUUCUGAGAGGAAGGUACCCCACAUUGGAACUGAGACACGGUCCAAACUCCUACGGGAGGCAGCAGUGAGGAGUAUUGGUCAAUGGGCGGAAGCCUGAACCAGCCAAGUAGCGUGCAGGAUGACGGCCCUAUGGGUUGUAAACUGCUUUUAUACAGGAAUAAAGUUAGCCACGUGUGGUUAUUUGUAGGUACUGUAUGAAUAAGGACCGGCUAAUUCCGUGCCAGCCGCCGUAACAC